UACGUAGGGGGCUAGCGUUGCUCGGAAUUACUGGGCGUAAAGGGUGCGUAGGCGGGUUUUUAAGUCAGGGGUGAAAUCCUGGAGCUCAACUCCAGAACUGCCUUUGAUACUGAGGAGCUUGAGUCCGGGAGAGGUGAGUGGAACUGCGAGUGUAGAGGUGAAAUUCGUAGAUAUUCGCAAGAACACCAGUGGCGAAGGCGGCUCACUGGCCCGGUACUGACGCUGAGGUGCGAAAGCGUGGGGAGCAAACAGG
rnacentral:rRNA from 1 species